ensembl:misc_RNA Y_RNA Y RNA
GGCUGAUCCAAGUGCAGUGGUGUUUACAACUAAUUGAUCACAACCAGUUAGAGAUUUCUUUGUUCCUUCACCACUCCUAUUCCUUCGCUUGACUAGCCUAAA